GAGAGAGGGUGCGCAGACGGCCAGCCGGGCCGCGCCAGGGACAUACUGGAGACAGGAAGUGGCUGAGAGGGGGAGAGAGUUGGAGAGAGACGGCCGCGGAGGACACGGGGACGGGAAAGUCUGAGAGACGGGGAGAGCCUGACCCGGCGGGACACAGGCAGAAAGAAACACGCGAGCCAGACAGACGCAGAAGAAACGUGCCUGGUACUGGAUAGGAACUUCAUGGAAUGGAGCUAAUGGGCCGUAGGGCAGGUUUGAGUCGUGCCACCCUGGAGCAGAAGGUGGAGGGUAGGGAUAAGGGGGUGGAGCACCUGAUUCCAAUCUUGCCACAGGGAAGAAGAGUCUGUGAAGAAGGUGGAGAGAAACUAGGAGAAAAGCACAGGAUGUAGAGGUCUAUUCGGCAUAAUCUUCUCCCUCAUUUUCAUCUUCACCAUCAACAGAGAGAGCAGCAUACUUGCUUGCAGAACUGAACUUCUGUAACACAACGAGAGUGACAGGAUAAUGAAGGCCCUGAAUUAUCACAUCAAAACCCAAGACACAGGAUACUGAUCCUUUGGCAAUGGGGGAUGACAGUCAGAUGACACCCACUUGCUUGCUCAUCAGCAUUGUCCAUUGGAGAGGAGCUAGGGAAGAGGGUCAGAGGCACAUGCGAUCUUACUAUAGUCUCAUACCACCUCUACACCUUGCAGAAGGGAUGAGAACAAAGGAAGACAGAAACCAGGAAAAAGCUAAACUUCUUUCGCUAUUUCAGUAAAGACCAAUGUCUUAUUUCCAAACACUUUGUAUUCCAAAUGGAAAGAAGUCCAACGGCAAAAAGUUUAGAAUACUAAGAAUUUUUAAUUCUUAGUAAGAAUACUUAGAAUUCUAAGAAUUUUUCUUAGAAUGAAAAAUUGGGAGCAGCCUUCAACACUUACGGAAGCUGGAUUUUCCUCAGGUUUCUUUGGCUCAGGUGCAGAUCUGGAGUCUUGAUCCUUUUUGCCAUCUUUCCUGCAGAGACGUAAGCAUAAAACCAUGUCUUUAGGAAAGGACUCGCCUAAUACAAACAUGUGUAUGCAUGCAGUUUCAAGGCACUGAACAGGCACCUCUAGUCAACAGUCCUUGUUGUCUGGAUGAUGUAUUACUUCUAGAUUUUCAGAAUCUUAACUGUCUACGUUGGCUGACUUUAGUUUGCUCACAAUGAGCGAUCUGGCAGUGCUCUGAGAACCAAGAACUUAAUUUCUUAAUUACACAAACAUGUGGAUCAGAGGAAAGAUGAGAAAGAGAACAAGCAUACCUAUCUGACUCCUUCCAGUGGUCUCUGUUCCCUCCGUCGCCUGGACCACGGCUAGAGUUCCCAGUUUGGCCUUUUGGGGCAUUCAUCCCAUCUACUUUAUUUUCAUCUGCUUGGGCAGUAAUGUAAACAAAUUAAAGGCAAGUAAAAGUAUCAAUGUCCCUCUCCUAAGAUUUCCCUUAAGCUGAAGAAAAUUGUGCCCACAUGUACUGAGGGAAACUAACCUCACCCCAACCCAGACUUCCUUCCUGAAGCCCUUCUUUCCACAUCCUCUACAGCACACAAAAAUACAAAAAACAAACAAAAUCCACUAAAAAGUUCCAUGUAGGGAUAUGCCAUCAUGAAAAGCAAGCUGGAAAUAAAGAUUAUGACGCUCUGUA
rnacentral:lncRNA from 1 species